AGUGAACGCUGGCGGUAUGCCUAACACAUGCAAGUCGAACGGCAGCACAGUAAGAGCUUGCUCUUACGGGUGGCGAGUGGCGGACGGGUGAGGAAUACAUCGGAAUCUACUUUUUCGUGGGGGAUAACGUAGGGAAACUUACGCUAAUACCGCAUACGACCUACGGGUGAAAGCAGGGGAUCUUCUGACCUUGCGCGAUUGAAUGAGCCGAUGUCGGAGUAGCUAGUUGGCGGGGUAAAGGCCCACCAAGGCGACGAUCCGUAGCUGGUCUGAGAGGAUGGACCGCCAGACGGGCACGGAGAAAGGGUCCAGACUCCGACGGGAGGCAGCAGUGGGGAAUAUUGGACAAGGGGCGAAAGGCUGAUACAGCAAUACCGCGUGAGUGAAGAAGGCCUUCGGGUUGUAAAGCCAUGUUGUUGGGAAAGAAGAGCAGCAGGUUAAUACCCCGCUGUUCUGACGGUACCCAAAGAAUAAGCACCGGCUAACUUCGUG
rnacentral:rRNA from 1 species